rnacentral:rRNA from 1 species
AUUGAACGCUGGCGGCAGGCUUAACACAUGCAAGUCGAGCGGGGUGAUGGUGCUUGCACUAUCACUUAGCGGCGGACGGGUGAGUAAUGCUUAGGAAUCUGCCUAUUAGUGGGGGACAACAUCUCGAAAGGGAUGCUAAUACCGCAUACGUCCUACGGGAGAAAGCAGGGGAUCACUUGUGACCUUGCGCUAAUAGAUGAGCCUAAGUCGGAUUAGCUAGGUGGUGGGGUAAAGGCCUACCAAGGCGACGAUCUGUAGCGGGUCUGAGAGGAUGAUCCGCCACACUGGGACUGGGACACGGCCCAGACUCCUACGGGAGGCAGCAGUGGGGAAUAUUGGACAAUGGGGGGAACCCUGAUCCAGCCAUGCCGCGUGUGUGAAGAAGGCCUUAUGGUUGUAAAGCACUUUAAGCGAGGAGGAGGCUCUUUUGGUUAAUACCCAAGAUGAGUGGACGUUACUCGCAGAAUAAGCACCGGCUAACUCUGUGCCAGCAGCCGCAGUAA